ACACAUGCAAGUCGAACGGUGAAGAGAAGCUUGCUUCUCGGAUCAGUGGCGGACGGGUGAGUAACACGUGAGCAACCUGCCUUUAAGAGGGGGAUAACGUUUGGAAACGAACGCUAAUACCGCAUAACAUAGAAGAUUCGCAUGUUUCUUCUAUCAAAGAUUUAUCGCUUAAAGAUGGGCUCGCGUCUGAUUAGCUGGUUGGUGAGGUAACGGCUCACCAAGGCGACGAUCAGUAGCCGUACUGAGAGGUAGAACGGCCACAUUGGGACUGAGACACGGCCCAGACUCCUACGAGAGGCAGCAGUGGGGAAUAUUGCACAAUGGAGGGAACUCUGAUGCAGCGAUGCCGCGUGAGGGAAGAAGGUUUUAGGAUUGUAAACCUCUGUCUUCAGGGACGAUAAUGACGGUACCUGAGGAGGAAGCUCCGGCUAACUACGUGCCAGCAGCCGCGGUAAUACGUAGGGAGCGAGCGUUGUCCGGAAUUACUGGGUGUAAAGGGAGCGUAGGCGGGAUCUUAAGUCAGGUGUGAAAACUAUGGGCUCAACCCAUAGACUGCACUUGAAACUGAGGUUCUUGAGUGAAGUAGAGGCAGGCGGAAUUCCUAGUGUAGCGGUGAAAUGCGUAGAUAUUAGGAGGAACAUCAGUGGCGAAGGCGGCCUGCUGGGCUUUUACUGACGCUGAGGCUCGAAAGCGUGGGGAGCAAACAGGAUUAGAUACCCUGGUAGUCCACGCUGUAAACGAUGAUUACUAGGUGUGGGGGGACUGACCCCUUCCGUGCCGCAGUUAACACAAUAAGUAAUCCACCUGGGGAGUACGGCCGCAAGGUUGAAACUCAA
rnacentral:rRNA from 1 species